ACCACGGAAUCCUCCUACCAGCUUAUGUGUAGCCAUGUACAGAGGGAGAUCACAUACGUAACAACUAUUGGACCAGGGGAAACUGGGAAUUCAUCCGCUCACUCUUUGUGCCUUGCAACACCAAAACAAAGGGCUGUUUCAAUUACCACAUGCCAAUCGCCUAGUCAAAGAACCUAACGGAUUGCUUGGAAUAACUGCCUUCAGACCCGCCUUGUCUGAC
rnacentral:lncRNA from 1 species